UUCUCAGCUGCAUGCAUGUUCACAUGGGAUACAGAGGUGAAAGCACACUUCCACAAACAAUAUAUCUUUGAAGAGAUAUGUAGAAAAACACCUUGAGGAUUGAUUCUAAACAACGUUUGCCAUGUUUCAGUCGAUAUUAUGGAGUUAUUUUGGAAAAAGUUCUGCGUUUUUAUAACUGAAUUUUCGGGGUUUUUUGGUAGCCAAACAUGACGCAGAAAACGGACCGAUUUUCUCCUGCACAAAUAAUCUUUCAGGAAAAUUGAACAUUUGCUAUCUAACUGAGUCUCCUCAUUGAAAACAUCCGAAGUUCUUCAAAGUGUCUUGUCAGUGGUGGAAGAGAUACUCUGGAGCUGCUGCAGUGUGUCUGGGGCUGCUGUGUGUUCUCCUACUGGCUGGGAUCAUAGGCCUGUUUCUCUACCAGAGAAACCAAUUGACCAGUUCCAACACCCUGACUGAAGAGAGGGACCAGCUACAGACCAGUUACAACACCCUGACCAAAGAGAGAGACCAGCUACAGACCAGUUUCAACAUUCUGACCAAAGAGAGAGACCAGCUACAGACAAACUACAACACCCUGACUAAAGAUGGAGACCAGUUACAGACUAGCGACAACACCCUGAUCAAAGAGAGAGACCGGCUUCAGAAAGAGAUAGAACGUCUGAAACAAUCUUUAGUUGAGAAAGUGUGUCCGCAAGGAUGGAAGAAGCUUGGUAGCAGUUGUUACUACGUCUCUACUGAGUACAAAUCCUGGGAGGAGAGCAGACAGGACUGCAGAAAUAGAGGAGCACACCUGGUGGUCAUCAAGAGCGAAGACGAUCAGUGUCUUGUCAGUGGUGGAAGAGAUACUCUGGAGCUGCUGCAGUGUGUCUGGGGCUGCUGUGUGUUCUCCUACUGGCUGGGAUCAUAGGCCUGUUUCUCUACCAGAGAAACCAGUUGACCCGUUACAACACCCUGACCAGAGAGAGAGACCAGCUACAGACUAGCAACAAUGCCCUGACCAAAGAGAAAGACCAGCUACAGACUAGCAACAACGCCCUGACCAAAGAGAGAGACCAGCUACAGACUAGCAACAACGCCCUGACCAAAGAGAGAGACCAGCUACAGACCAGCGACCACACCCGGACCAAAGAGAGAGACCAGCUACAGACCAGUUACAACACUCUGACCAAAGAGAGAGACCAGCUACAGAAAGAGACAGAACGUCUGAAACAAUCUUUAGUUGAGAAAGUGUGUCCACAAGGAUGGAAGAAGAUUGGUAGGAGUUGUUACUACGUCUCUACUGAGAAAAAACCCUGGAAGGAGAGCAGACAGGACUGCAGAGAUAGAGGAGCACACCUGGUGGUCAUCAAGAGCCAGGAACAACAGACAUUAGUCAAUUUGUUAUGUGGAGUAAAGAACUAUGUCUGGAUUGGUCUGACUGACUCUGUUUCUGAGGGGACCUGGAAAUGGGUGGACGACACACCACUGACCACAAAGUAUUGGAACAGUGGACAGCCUAACGGUGAUGUAGCUGAGAACUGUGGGUAUUUCUACUCCAGGUCAUCAGACACAGGAGCUUGGUGGGAUUAUGACUGUUCCUAUGAAUACCGAUGGAUCUGUGAGAAAUAGGAUUCUAUCCUCUGUACUCUCUGUACUGCUAAACAGGAUUAUUAAGUAUUAUAACUGUUUUCUGUUUCAAUUUACCUUAUCAAGUAAAUAAAUAAAACAUAUAACAAGACAAAUGUAGAUUAUAUAUAUAUAUAAUACAAUAAAAAAAAAAAAUGCAACAACCUGAUAACAGACUGUUUUCUGUGGUUGUGGAAAUUCACCACUAAGGACUUGUCCUCCCCUCCGGAGUACGACGACGCCAGAUUACUCCGGUCCUGGGAGUUACGCAUACCUGGCACUCAUUAUUAACCUGUGUUUCACACCUGGCACUCGUUAUUAACCUGUGUUUCACACCUGGCACUCGUUAUUAACCUGUGUUUCACACCUGGCUCUUGUUAUUAACCUGUGUUUCACACCUGGAACUCGUUAUUAACCUGUGUUUCACACCUGGAACUCGUUAUUAAACUGUGUUUCACACCUGGCACUCGUUAUUAACCUGUGUUUCACACCUGGCACUCAUUUUUAACCUGUGUUUCACACCUGGUACUCGUUAUGUACCUGUGUUUCACACCUGGCACUCAUUAUUAACCUGUGUUUCACACCUGGCACUCAUUAUUAACCUGUGUUUCACACCUGGACACCAUUCCCUGCAUCAUUUCCUCCCCUUUAUAUGUCUCCCAGGGUCACUCACCAGUUGGUAUUGAUCUUGUGUGUCGGCGUUCUGCAUUAUGUUAUUAUUGUUGUGUUCUUGGUUUUGUUGUUUUAUUAAAAUAUUUCACCUGC